AUGUCUCAAAUUUACCGAGUUCUUUUCCUGCUUUCCUCUCUGAUCUACAAGGUAGAAACUGGAGAGGAUGAAGUCACGCAACUUGCUCAGUGGAAAGUUGUUAAGGAGGCAGAAAACGCUUCCAUUGAAUGCUCCACAACAAACACAUUUGACACAGUGCACUGGUACAGACAGCUCCCGAACCAGCCGCCCCAGCAUCUGGUGAUGGCCAAAAGAGAAGCUGAUCAACAUGAGAGGAUUUCUGCUUCAGUCAGUACAGACUACAAACACAGUGUCCUGAGUGUGAGAGACACCAGACUUAACGACACCGCCAUCUACCUCUGUGCCAAUGGGGGCACAGUGUUACAAGCUGAGGGAGAGUCUGAACAAAAACCUAUACUGCACAGCUGA